UACGUAGGGGGCAAGCGUUGUCCGGAUUUAUUGGGCGUAAAGAGCGUGUAGGCGGCUUUGCAAGUCCGUUGUGAAAACUCGAGGCUCAACCUCGAGACGCCGGUGGAAACUGCAAAGCUAGAGUCCGGAAGAGGAGAGUGGAAUUCCUGGUGUAGCGGUGAAAUGCGCAGAUCUCAGGAAGAACACCCGUGGCGAAGGCGGCUCUCUGGAACGGUACUGACGCUGAGACGCUAAAGCGUGGGGAGCGAACAGG
rnacentral:rRNA from 1 species